GGGAGCUCAUAUUAAGGGGGAGAUUUUUAUAUUGUUACUCUUUUUGCUUAUGAUAAAAAAGGGGGAGAAGAAAACUAUAAGGGGAGAAGUAUAAUACAAAUUGUUAAUUGAUACAGGUACUGCUAAACUUUGUUGUCUGUUAGCUUGUAUGUUUUUGCAGGAAAGCCAAAGUUGCUUUUAAAAUUGAAUUUUUGAUCAUCAUCAAAAAGUGGGAGAUUGUUAACAAUAAGGAGCAUUGGUAAAUCUUGAAGAAAAUGGUUUUGAUGAUGCUGCAAGAAGUUUUAUUUGAAGAGAACAUUAGAAUUAUUUAAAAGCAAUUUGUAGAAAUUGAAUGUAGUAGGAAAGUCUCAAAUAAAUUGUAA
rnacentral:lncRNA from 1 species